UGCGGUGGCCAUCCGGUAUCAUAGACAG
rnacentral:sRNA from 1 species